rnacentral:rRNA from 1 species
GACGAACGCUGGCGGCGUGCCUAAUACAUGCAAGUCGAACGCAGUGGGGACGGGUGAGUAACACGUGGCUAACCUCCCAUCAGAGGGGAUAACACUUGGAAACAAGUGCUAAACCGAUACUGAUUGAUGUACCCGCGGUGCAUUAGCUAGUCGUUGAGGUAACGGCUCACCAAGGCCACGAUGCAUAGCCGGCCGGAGAGGGUGAUCGGCCACACUGGGACUGAGACACGGCCCAGACUCCUACGGGAGGCAGCAGUAGGGAAUAUUGGGCAAUGGGCGAAAGUCUGACCGAGCAACGCCGCGUGAGUGAAGAAGGUUUUCGGGUCGUAAAACUCUGUUGUUAGAGAAGCGGUAUCUAAACAGAAAGCCACGGCUAACUACGUGCCAGCAGCCGCGGUAAUAC